UUAGGGUUUGGAACUCGUCACUUCUCCUGUACACGUGGAUGUGGGUUAUUUUACAGAGGGUUUCUGCCUUGGAUAUCCUCGCUUGGUGCCAGACAAUAACCAGUAGCAAUGGCCUAAAACCCUUCUCAUUCCUUAAACACUGCCCCUCUCUUUCUGUCUGUAUGAGGCUCUGGGAAUCUCUAUGCAUCGGAGCCCUCACAAACUUGAUCGGUUAGAGAACGACUUAAACCUUGCUUGCCAUAUACGUUCUGGCUGCCAUUUCAGAAGUCCAGAAGUAGCCAUAGUAUAGCUAUGCUUGAUAAUGAUUACAGCCACAUAGGGUCAUAUUUCAGCCAUACUUCUGUUGAACCAACUACUGAAAGGCUCAACUGUGAUAAUCACGCUUUCAGUUAUCCCUUAAGAAAAGAUUCAAACCAUUUUGAGAAUCCUCAGAAAGUUACACCAGGAAAAAGUUAUUCUAUUCUCCAAUCUCCUUGUUUUCAGCAUUGGUUCAAAAAUUGGCAAGAGAAAAGAAAGCACAAACUUACGGCAAGCACUUUUGCUGGGGCUAUUGGUUUUUGGCCUCGCAGGAGGGUCCAGCUCUGGCUGGAGAAGCUUGGGGCAAUCGAGCCAUUUGCUGGUAAUUUGGCCACACAUUGGAAUAACAUCAAAGAAGAGGAAGCACUCGAAAGAUACAAGCUUAUAACAGGAAACACAGUUUUAUUUCCAGAAUUUCAGGUCUAUCAUGAUAGGAAUCCAGAAGAUGAUUGGCUAGCAGCUUCACCAGAUGGGGUCGUUGACAAGUUUGUGCAUGAUUUGCCUUCCCGAGGAGUGCUAGAGAUCAAGUGCCCAUUUUUUCAUGGAGAUAUGAGGCAAGCUUCACCUUGGAAGCGAAUUCCUGUUUAUUAUAUUCCUCAAGCUCAGGGUUUGAUGGAAAUACUGGACAGGGAUUGGAUGGAUUUGUAUGUUUGGACCCCUAAUGGCAGCAGCCUUUUCAGGUUAUAUCGAGAUGCAGAUUAUUGGGAUGUCCUGAGAUUAUCGCUUUCUGAUUUCUGGUUGAAGCAUGUACAGCCAGCAAGGGAAAUCUGCAGCAGAUAUGUGAUCACAGAUCCCCUUGACCAAUUAAGUUAUCUCAGGCCAGAACCUAAGCAUGAACUCUUUCGCUAUAUCAUCUAUGAAAGUAAACGCAUUGUUGAUGACUCAAAGUUACUAAUGCGUGAAAUCCAUGGAGUGCUGCAAAACUGAAGCUUCUUUGUGUAUGCAAUUGGGUCUUUAUUUCGUGGUUGAAGGGAAAUGGAUUUUGUUUCUCAAAUAGCAAGCUCUUUGAGGAGUGGGAUUACUUUUACUGCUAGAAUUCACACUUGAAGGUUGGAGAAUUUUGGAAGACAUUACUGUUUAUGGUGUGGGGCUGGAAUUAAAGAUAUGGAUCAUUCACUCGGGGAAGGUAUGACGCUACUUUUCUCCUGACUCCCUUGUUCCAUGCCUUCAUAUUCUAGAGGCUAUAGCUCCAACUGCGAUGUACCAUUAUUUUGAAUAUUGUGGAAUGCAUGCAACUACACUAUGCUGUUGAUGGUAUGGAGUAUUUGCGCUCGAUGGAAGUUCGAUCAGCUCCUGGAAAGGGAACUAAGGAAGGGCAAUGUAUCUGAUUCACGUAGAGAAUACAAGAAGUUGAUAAAACUGUUGGACAUAUUGAACCUGAGUGCUUCCCAUACAGAGGAUUCGUCAACUUUAGUUGUUAUGGUUGUUUAUCUGCAACUCCUCUGUAAAUUGGACCUGUGUAGUUUUGAGUGGGUAAUGAAUCAGCACAAGAUUUCCCAGCUCGAGCGCAGAAGAAUCAGUUCUCUUUCAAUGAUUACUGCAUAUUCUGAACGGGAGUCGGACCAAAUGUGUACAUUAAUGUAAAGUACUUUACCAUGAGUAUGUUAAGACACUUUCAUGGUUAGCAGGGUUGCAUUACAAUUGUCUUGUCAGCUUGAACUAGCGCUCUGAAUAUGUGAUCUCUCAAAGAUGCAUUAAA